AUUGCCUAAGUUAUAUACAAAUAAAAAUGAAAAAAUAAUAGAAACAUGUUAAUUAAAUAGUAAGACUAUAUAAUUAAAUGUGAGUUAUUAAUAAUAAUAAUAAUAAAAACUUAAUUGGCAAACAGGACUCCAGCUAAAUCAAACAAAAUUUGGAUUUUUUUCAAAAAAAGAAGAAAAGAAAGCAAAACAAAUAGGCCAACAUAAACAAAAGGGAAGCUUCACAAACGGGUGGGACCUGAAGACCCAUGAGGCCCAUUAGGGCAGAAUCCAGGCAGGUCAACCAAACCCUAAACCGGAUCCACAGGAGAACGUGGGGAAAAGGGAAAGCCACAGCUAACGGUCACAUGGGGACCGAAAAACCAUUAAUGCAGAGGGAGAAAACGAGGUGGUAGACGGCCUCGGGCAGUGGUAAAGGCGCUGCUUUUCUCUGGCCUUAACUCACUUAAUGCAAAAUGAAGAUGAACACGAGGUAUCCC
rnacentral:lncRNA from 1 species